rnacentral:rRNA from 1 species
GAUGAACGCUGGCGGCGUGCUUAACACAUGCAAGUCGAACGGAAAGGCCCAAGCUUGCUUGGGUACUCGAGUGGCGAACGGGUGAGUAACACGUGGGUGAUCUGCCCUGCACUUCGGGAUAAGCCUGGGAAACUGGGUCUAAUACCGGAUAGGACGAUGGUUUGGAUGCCAUUGUGGAAAGUUUUUUCGGUGUGGGAUGAGCUCGCGGCCUAUCAGCUUGUUGGUGGGGUGAUGGCCUACCAAGGCGUCGACGGGUAGCCGGCCUGAGAGGGUGUACGGCCACAUUGGGGCUGAGAGACGGCCCAGACUCCUACGGGGGGCAGCAAUGGGGAAUAUUGCACAAUGGGCGCAAGCCUGAUGCAGCGACGCCGCGUGGGGGAUGACGGCCUUCGGGUUGUAAACUCCUUUCGCUAGGGACGAAGCGUUUUUGUGACGGUACCUGGAGAAGAAGCACCGGCUAACUACGUG